rnacentral:rRNA from 1 species
AUUGAACGCUGGCGGCAUGCUUUACACAUGCAAGUCGAACGGUAACAGGUUAAGCUGACGAGUGGCGAACGGGUGAGUAAUGCAUCGGAACGUGCCCGGUCGUGGGGGAUAACGCAGCGAAAGCUGCGCUAAUACCGCAUACGAUCUGAGGAUGAAAGCGGGGGACCGUAAGGCCUCGCGCGAUCGGAGCGGCCGAUGUCAGAUUAGGUAGUUGGUGAGGUAAAGGCUCACCAAGCCAACGAUCUGUAGCUGGUCUGAGAGGACGACCAGCCACACUGGGACUGAGACACGGCCCAGACUCCUACGGGAGGCAGCAGUGGGGAAUUUUGGACAAUGGGCGAAAGCCAGAUCCAGCAAUGCCGCGUGCAGGAAGAAGGCCUUCGGGUUGUAAACUGCUUUUGUACGGAGCGAAAAGGCUCUCUCUAAUACAGGGGGCUCAUGACGGUACCGUAAGAAUAAGCACCGGCUAACUACGUGCCAGCAGCCGCAGUAA